rnacentral:rRNA from 1 species
AUUGAACGCUGGCGGCAGGCCUAACACAUGCAAGUCGAGCGGAGCGGCGGACGGGUGAGUAAGUCCUAGGAAUCUGCCUGGUCGUGGGGGAUAACGUCCGGAAAUGGGCGCUAAUACCGCAUCCUAUCAGAUGUGCCUCGGUCGGAUUAGCUAUUUGGUGGGGUAAAGGCUUAACAAGGCGACGAUCCGUAACUGGUCUGAGAGGAAGAUCAGUCACACUGGAACUGAGACACGGUCCAGACUCCUACGGGAGGCAUCAUUGGGGAAUAUUUGACAAUGGGCGAAAUCCUGAUCCAGCCAUGCCGCGUGUUUGAAGAAGGUCGUCGGAGUGUAAAGCACUUUAAGUUGGGAGGCGUUACCAACAGAAUAAGCACCGGCUAACUUCGUGCCAGCAGCCGCGGUAAUUC